UACGUAGGGGGCAAGCGUUGUCCGGAAUCAUUGGGCGUAAAGCGCGCGUAGGCGGCCCGGUAAGUCCGCUGUAAAAGUCCAGGGCUCAACCCUGGAAAGCCGGUGGAUACUGUCGGGCUAGAGUCCGGAAGAGGCGAGUGGAAUUCCCAGUGUAGAGGUGAAAUUCGUAGAUAUUGGGAAGAACACCGGUGGCGAAGGCGGCGACCUGGUCCGAUACUGACGCUGAGGCGCGAAAGCGUGGGGAGCAAACAGG
rnacentral:rRNA from 1 species